CCUACGGGUGGCUGCAGUGAGGAAUAUUGGUCAAUGGGCUUACGCCUGAACCAGCCAAGUCGCGUGAGGGAAGACUGCUCUAUGGGUUGUAAACCUUUUUUGUAAGGGAGCAACGCCGGCUAUAUGUAGCCUAACUGAGAGUACCUGCAGAACAAGCAUCGGCUAACUUCGUGCCAGCAGCCGCGGUAAUACGGAGGAUGCGAGCGUUAUCCGGAGUUAUUGGGUUUAAAGGGUCCGUAGGCGGAAUGCCAAGUUAGCGGUAAAAUCGCGGGGCUAAACCUAGAUCCGCAGUUGAACCUGGCGUUCUUGAGUAGGCGAGAAGUAGGCGGAAUGCGUGGUGUAGCGGUGAAAUGCACAGAUAUCAAGCAGAAUUCCGAUUGCGAAGGCAGCAUACCGGCGCACAACUGACGCUGAAGCACGAAAGCGUGGGUAUCGAACAGGAUUAGAUACCCUUGUAGUC
rnacentral:rRNA from 1 species